CUUGUAUUAAGGUUCUAGAAGUCAUCGAGCCAAUUGCCAAGCUCAAACUCUAAAAUACCACAUUCCACCAGAAUAGCGUUUCUAGUUCUAAAAACUUGUUGCUCAACUCGAUCAUCUAAUCUUAAUCUGAGUAUUCAUUUGGAUUGUUUUUCAGUUUCAAAUGAAUGAUCGAUUUCCAAGUUUUAUGGACAAACGCCAGCCCAAAAUGCAAAAGAUUUUUCAAAACAUGCAGAACUGAUAAAAUUGUCACCGGCCCAAAGAUACUACAAUGAACAACCCUUUAACCAGGUCCAAAAUCAAAAACAACCAAAAUAUGGAAGCGAUCAUGCCAAGGCCAAAAAUAAUAUAUCAUUUCCCCCAAAUACAAGAUCUUCACUCAAAGAAACCUCUCCUUCACCCUGUCCCAGCCAGAAGGAUCCUCAAAUUCUGCAACACCAUUCAUGAAAACAUAAAUCAACAUAUUACAAUACAAAGAUGAACUGUGUAAUAAUAAAUUUCAUGAAGUGCUUUUCAUAUGCAUUACUGCUGGACAACCUAAAUUGAUAAUAGGUGGAAGAAUACCAAAUAAAAGCUUUGCGAUACUUACAUAUCUUGUUGAAGGCCACAAUAUCACAGCUCUGGACAUGCUCAUUCACUGGCUCAACUGUCAGAUGUUCCUCAAUGAGGGAAUCCACAGAUACAAGGUCAUCCACAAUGGUGAGCAUGAUCUGCAAUUUCUUGAUGCCAUAACCAACUGGAACCAGUUUUGACGCUCCCCACAGGAGACCAGGCAUCUCAACACUCCGGACUGACUCCUCCAACUUCUUCAUAUCUGUCUCAUCAUCCCAAGGUUUCACAUCCAAAAGAACCGAAGAUUUUCCACCUAUAAAAUGAACGACAGAUCAAAAUGACAGAAUAUUCGAUGACUUGUAAUCCUUCACUACUAAGUACUGUAAAAACUCACCUAAUUUGGACCACAAGGGAGGAUCUCAAUUUCCAUUGCCAAAAGUUUGGGACUUUCCUAGCAGGCUAGAUAUGCAAUUCAGAGACAAAACAGAAUGUGAAACUUACUCUCUUUCUUCUUGGCAGGCUUUUUAGCUGCCUCCCUCUCCUCCGCUGCCUUCUUUUCCUCCUCUGUCUCAUCACCAAAUAGAUCCAAGUCAUCAUCAUCUCCAUCAGCAGCAGCCUAAAAUAGUUAGUGGAAAAAUUGCAAAACCAACUAAGAAACAAGGAAUUCAUUUAUUAUCUUGCAAAUGGAAAGUGAUCAAUCCUUGAUCCAAAUGCUCAUAAAGUCGAAAAGCUAACUGUACACGUUGCAUGUGAAACAAUAGGAAACAAUAGGCAGAAAGUAAAGACCUAACGAGUUAAUAUUCACAUAGGUAAUCUAUGGUUGAAUCAAACAAAAUCUUUGCUGAAAAGAUCCAAUUUUGGAUUCAUCCUUCAGAUCAUUUAAUCAAGAUCAGUUUUCAAAAUUAAAACAAAAACACAAAUCUCCUUAGCAGAGGUAGCAGCUUCAGCUGGAGCAGCAGCUGUGCCUCCAAUUCUUACUCCAACAGCUUUACCGGGGAAGCUUGCCGCAAGAUGUGAAGAUACACAGUCGUACCACUUGCUGGCAUUGGGGGAGGCAUCUCCAGGCUUCGCCAGAACAGCAGCGUACACCUUUAUGUCAUCCCUUGAUAGUUUAUCCCCAGAAAUAUAAGAUUUUCCGUCGAGAAACCCAUCGAGAAACUUGAGGCCUAAUUCAGUGUGGAGAUCUGAAAAAGUGACUGCCAUUGCUUACAGAGGAAGAUAGGAAGCGGACACGAGACAGUGGGAGAAAGAGGGGCGACUACGAUGGAAGAAGCAGCAGAGCUCAGGAGGAGAUAUUGUUACUUGAACGGGUGAUAUUUAUCUGGUUACAGAACCUGAAAAGAAAUAAACCCUAGAAAUGGAAUGGAUUUGGAUAUUAUAUGUUUUUUUAGCUACCCUAUCCGGCGAUUUACAUCCGAGAAGGCCCUCAAUCAAAC
rnacentral:misc_RNA from 1 species